UUUCGCAAUGCCCGAAAGGGUGACGAAGCGACGCCGCGUGGGUGAGGAAGGCCUUCGGGUUGUAAAGCCCUGUCAGGAGUUAAGAAAUGUAAGUGCGCUAAUACCGCAUUUAUUUGACGAAGGCUCCAAAGGAAGUCACGGCUAACUCUGUGCCAGCAGCCGCGGUAAUACAGAGGUGGCAAGCGUUGUUCGGAAUUAUUGGGCGUAAAGAGCACGUAGGUGGGUUUGUAAGUCAGAUGUGAAAGCCUCCUGUUCAACGGGAGAAUUGCAUCUGAAACUACAGAUUUUGAGUGUAGGAGGGGAGAAUGGAACUUCUGGUGGAGCGGUGAAAUGCGUAGAUAUCAGAAGGAACGCCGGCGGCGAAAGCGAUUCUCUGGCCUAUUACUGACACUCAGUGUGCGAAAGCUAGGGUAGCAAACGGGAUUAGAUACCCCGGUAGUCCUAGCCGUAAACGAUGGGCACUAAGUAGAGGGGUUUU
rnacentral:rRNA from 1 species